UGCAAAUAGAAGGUAGAAAUUGAGGCAUUGCUUGAAGGACAAUGAAUUUUAAUUCUAGCACUGACUUAAAUAGGUAUGUUAUCUCUUUUGGCCUUGGGUACCUUAUUUAUGACCCUGAACAUAUAUGACCUGAACAUCUUAACUCCCCAGGUCAUGACAGUACAGCAUGGGAGUCUAUGAUUUUGGGGUUCUAGGAAAGAGAUUAAAGAUUAAAAUGAAGAGCUGCAGAGUCAGACUUCCCGUGUUCAAAUUUUGGCUGCAUGACCUAUUGUGUAACCUUGAGCAAGUAAAUUACUAUCUCUGUAAUGCUGUCGCCCAGGCUGGAGUGCAGUGGCGCGAUCUCAGCUCACUGCAUUCCAGCCUGAGCGACAGAGCGAGACUCCAUCUGCC
rnacentral:lncRNA from 1 species